CAAAGGUUUGGUCCUGACUUUAUUAUCAGCUUUAACCAAUUUACCCAUGCAAGCUCCCGCAAUUCCCGUGAGGAUGCCUUCAAUCCCCGUCCGGGGACGAGGAAGCCGGUAUCAGGCACAAAUAUAGCCCAAGACCGCCUUGCUUAGCCACACCCCCAAGGGAAUUCAAGCAGUGAUAAACAUUGAGCCAUAAGUGAAAACUUGACUUAGUCAGGGUUAAGAGGACCGGUUAAACUCGUGCCAGCCACCGCGGUUAUACGAGAGGCCCAAGUUGAUAAGCCCGGCGUAAAGAGUGGUUUAUGGAACCCCGCCCCCACUAAAGCUAAAGAGCCCCUAAGCUGUUAUACGCACUUGGAAGCUUGAACCCCUGACACGAAAGUAGCUUUAUCUUCUCCUGAACCCACGAUAGCUGGGGCACAAACUGGGAUUAGAAACCCCACUAUGCCCUGCCGUAAACUUAGAUAUUUAGUCACAACAAAUAUCCGCCUGGGGACUACGAGCGUUAGCUUAAAAACCAAAGGACUUGGCGGUGCUUCAGACCCCCCUAGAGGAGCCUGUUCUAGAACCGAUAACCCCCGUUCAACCUCACUAUUCCUUGCUUUUCCCGCCUAUAUACCGCCGUCGCCAGCUUACCCUGUGAAGGUAUUACAGUAAGCAAAACGGGCAUUGCCCAGAACGUCAGGUCGAGGUGUAGCGUACGGAGUAGGAAGAAAUGGGCUACAUUAUCUGAAACAGAUUAUUCACGGAGGGUCACCUGAAACGGCGACCCGAAGGUGGAUUUAGCAGUAAGGGGAGAAUAGAGCGCCCCCCUGAAGCCGGCUCUGAAGCGCGCACACACCGCCCGUCACUCUCCCCAACAGCAUAACAACUAGUUAUUUGACCCAAAUAACAGCUACAAAGGGGAGGCCAACUCCCGUAACAUGGUAAGUGUACCGGAAGGUGCGCUUGGAAUAAC
rnacentral:ncRNA from 1 species